rnacentral:misc_RNA from 1 species
UUCAAUAAUGAAUAUUCUAACCUCCUUGUCUAGACCGGCUUCAGUUUGAACUUUCAUUUGUUCAGUGUUUAUAAACAGCUGUGUCUGAAGUUUGUCAAGUUUUCGGUGUAACUUUCGCGCACCAUUUUGCUACAACGCGUUGAAAUUACGCUUGAAGUCAUACUGCUGAAUGAAUCUGGCACAAAGGCUCAUAUACCUCAGACGGACAGUAGAUGUUCGAUUGCAUAAGCUGUUUUAUGCUAUCAUUUACAGACGACGGACAUAUUUGUGCCUCUUAAAACUGAAAAAGAAUAAACAGUAGAGCAAACGAAGAUCUUAGGAAAUCAUAGUGGAUAAAUAUGAACGAGAAAGUUGCAGGUGUUUAAAUAACAUUGUGCACAUCAGAAGUGCAGACAGUACGAAGUAGAGGUUGAGGAAGAAAGUAUAGUACCUACUGCGAGAAUCAGAUCCAUUAAAGUUGUGUGCUGCUAUUUUGAUGAAUUCCGAAGUGACUUCUUCAUGUUCGUAUCUCAACUCCAUAGGCAAAAUGCAGAAAGCAAAUGGAAGUUCCACCAUUUGGGAGGACAUCAUGACUCAUUCCCAGGAAGCCAGAGUUUCCAGUUCGCAAGACACCUUUCGGGUGGAGAAGGAAACCAUUUCCAGUGUAUCAGCUUUAGUCAGCAAAUUGAAUUCGUGUUCUGCCAUUGGUGCCGAUGGUUGCAAUGAACGCCGUAAAGGUGAUUUGUCAGCAACCAAUAACUUGGAUGCAAGAAAAACUCAAGAAACAUUCCCUUGGCUGUCUGACUUCUGGGAAACUUGUCGGAGCUCUGUCGGAACGAAGAACGUUAAAGUGUUGGAAAAUCUUAUACUGGAAUACCUAGCGAAAGUCAGUGGCAGUGUAAAAGAUUGCUACAUGAAACCUAAUCGUGCAGCUAAGCUGAAGAAGUCUAUGAAUGAUGUGCUGGUAUUCUUCCAUCUGUGCUACCAUGACAUGCAAGAGUCUAUGGAACAUUCCACCUAUCUUGACCGAAUGACUGAGUUGGUUUCUAUGUAUUUGGACAUGGAAAUAAAGGCUUCAAGGCGAAGAAAAGAAAGUGUGAAGAAAAUCGCUUGGAGGUUAUCAUCGAGUCUCAAUGUGUUGUUGGAUAAUUCUGAAGAACACAUGUUGGAUGCAAUCCUGAAAGCAAAAUUUAUAAACAAACACCAUAGAGAAUUGUGUGCUCCUCUUUUAGGGAAAAUACUUAACAGGAGUCACACAUACAAUAUGUAUGAAACAUUGUAUGUACGUUAUCUGUUGGUGUUCAAACUGUGGAAGAAAGUUGUUGCGAAUGCUGAUGAACGCCGCCGUAUAAACAAAUUGGCUGUUGCCAAAUUGAUUCCACCUCCACAUUUUGUAGAGAAGUCUAAACUGUUUAACACAGUGUUGCCAAAAAUACCAAAGUCCAAGAAGAAUGUGACCAUGUUUUUUAUGCAAGCAAAGUUCAAUUUGAAAGCUGCUUGUGUGGCUUUCCUGAAAACUUGCAGAGAGUCACAGCAACCUGGGUUCUCACAGGCAUUAGCUUUAAGUAUUGACAAACCUGUAUUCUAUGCGGAUGGUCGUGCCAAUUCACCUACGGGUCUUGAUGAAAAGGACAUUGGUGGAGGAAGUGGCAGCUUAAUAAAUGACAUAUGGUCAAGUAUAUGCAAUGUGGGUUCUGCAUUGGAGAACAACAGUCAGCUGAAAGAUUUAGAAGUAGAAAAACAAAACACGGAACAAGUAGUCAAAAAGAAGAAAAUUAAGGACAAGUCUGUUAAAAAGAAAGUUAAGAAGAAAAAAGAUGACAAAAAGGUCACAAGUGAAGAAAAUCCUGAAAAAAUGAAAAAGAAAAAACUAAAAAAGAAAAUAAUUGUGGGGUUUGGUGAAAUGUUACUAGGCAGUAGUGUUGCAAGUAAUAUUUCUCUUCUGAAAAAACUUUGCAAAGGGGAUAAGGCAAAAAAGACGAAAAAGAAAAAAAUACUAAAAGAGAAUUCCAAUGUUUGUCCUGUGCCAGUGGGAGAUAUAAAAACAAAUGAAUGUGACAAUUUAUUAGGUACAGAUAAAGAGAGUGAGAAACAGCUCUUAAAAGAAACUGUUGAAGUUAAAGUGGAAACUAGUGUCAGCAGUGUUAAAGAAAUUGAUAGUGGAAAGAAAGAGGGUUUUGAAAAUACAGAUGCUCUGCAGAAAGAGAGUGUUUGUGUAGGAACAACAUUGAUUGUCAAGCAAAAUUCAUUAGCAGUAACAAAAGGUGACAGCAUAGUACAAAUAAAUGAACCAUUGAACCAGGUUGACCUUGUAAAUAGUGCUAGUUCAAAUGAAACUUCUAUUUUAUCAGUGCCCAAAGACAAAAUCAAGAAAGUGUCCUCAGAAAAUGAACGAAGUCCUAUGAAUCAGGUGCAUAUUGUUAACAGUGCUGGAUCAGAGGAGGCUUUUGAAACUCAGCGUAGGGUUAUUGUUAAGGUUGUUGAUAUGGCAGAUGUAGUACAACCAAGUAGCAGCAGUAGUCCACCAGUCGAUGUGACAGCACAUAUCCAGCUUCCAGAUGUAUCUGUAGGAUCUAGUCAGUUGGUUCCAGUGACUACAGAAAAUGAAGCAUUAGCAACCAAACAUACAGAAGUUACAAAUACUGACAUUGUAUUGCCAAAGGUUGUUAGGGACCCUGUUUUGGUGUCAAGUCAAACUGCUAAUUCACAAGUACCAGAUACAGUUUCAUAUGUUUGUGACUCUUCUGUAAAAAAUGAGGUUCCUUUGCCAACUGAUGUUUGUACUCCAGGAGUCAGUCUCUACAAUGAAGCUCCAAUGGACAUUGAUGCUGAUGAACAGAUGUUGUCAGAUCUCGCAUCACGGGGUGGUGUUAAAUGUGAUGGUGAAGAAGAUGAAGUUUUGCCAGAUGAAUUUAUUAGACGAGACAACAUAGAUAAUUUGUUUAAUACUGGAAAUAAUUUGUUUAAUACUGGAAAUAAUUUGUUUAAUAAUGGAAAUAAUUUGUUUAAUACUGGAAAUGAAGCAUUUGUAAUAGAACUGUUAGGCGAUCUGCCUGAACACAAUAUGACUCUCUCUUCCUCUCCCCAUGUAAGUCAUGAUUCCUCAGAUGCAGAAACUCUGGAUCCAUUUGAGACAGCUUAUUUAAAUAACAUGAUGAAUAAUUUCUUCAGUGCGAAAGAGGAUUUUUCACAGGAGAAACAAGAAUGCAUUUUGCGUGGAGUUUCGUCAGCAACAAAGGCAGCAUUUGUGAAUGUACAAACAGAAGAACCAAGCAAAAAGAUUAUGGAAGGAGAUGGGGGUUCAACAGAUGAAGAAACUGAAAACUAUUACGAAUGUCAAAAUUCUCGACCACAGAGUGAUGAUGUUGACAAAAAUAGGCUUCGCGCAGGAGGGAAGGUCAUACCAACUGCAGUAAUUUCUUCCACUGGUUGCGUCAGUGUGACUGUGAAAGAUAAAGAAUUGGCGGCAGAAUCUCCUUCACGUAAUGAUAUUGAAAAUGAUACUUCACGUAAUGAUAUUGAAAGUGAUACUUCACGUAAUGGUAUUGAGAAUGAUACUUCGUGUAACAAUAUUGAAAAUGAUGCUUCAUGUAAUGGUAUUGAAAAUGAGACUUCAUGUAACCGUAUUGAAAAUGGUACUUCUCAUAGUGGUAUUGAAAAUGAUACUUCUCAUAAUGGUAUUGAAAAUGAUACUUUAUGUAAUGGUAUAGAAAAUGAUACUUCAUGUAAUGGUAUUGAAAAUGAUACUCGUCAAAGUGCAACAGCAGAUGAUUCAUUCCCUAAUAGUAAGAGUAAUGCUUGUGAAAUUAGUAGUAUUAGGGAAGCACCUUCUCAGCCACACAUCACUGCUAAUUCUACACCUCUGAGUUCUGCUAGUAGUACAUCCAGUGAAGAAUCUCAGAUUCAGACCAUUGACAAUUAUACACCUGUCGUGAAUGUUGAGACGAGGACCCAGCCUUGUGCUGAAAGAAUAGAAGUUCCUGAACUAAGAGAAGAAGAUGUAGCAACUCUUCAAAAACCAUCAACUGAAAAAGCUCUUCCCAGAAGCCUGGAAAACACUGAGACAGUUAGAGAACACUGUGUUGAGACUGUUAAAGAACACUGUGUUGAGACGGUUAAAGAACACUGUGUUGAACCGAUCAAAGAAAACUGCGUUGAAGACACCCAGUAUCAGAGUGUUACGGUUACUGUUUCUGAAUAUAAUACAGAAUUGGCAGAGUGCCUUCCAAGUGUUGAAUCUGAUUCUUGUAAAGUAUCAGAACAACCUGUAAAGGAACUGCCAAAACCAUCUCAAAGAGGUCGUAGAGGACGGCCAGCUUCGAAGUCAACUACCGUUAAUCGGGUAACAAGAUAUUGUUUGAAAUCGCCUGGUAGAGCUGUUAAAGAAGAUGAAGGGCCGCCUCCACCAAAGUGUAGAAGACAGAGCAGAGUGUUAGAGAACAAUCGCAAGUCACCUGUAAAAAAGCAGAAGAAAGGCAGAGAUAACCUAAAUGCAAGGCCACUCACCAGGAGUGUAUCAAAGCUGUUAUCAAGUUGGUGAUGUCUCAUCUGACUGCUUCGAACAAGAGAACUGUGCCCAUCAAGGUAGUGUGAUGAUGUUUGCAAUAGCUGCAAGUAGUAGUACUACAUCCACGAUGGAAGAUGAUCAUCACCCAAAUAAAAGGACUUCUUAACGUGACAAUUCAUGUAAACAUUCUUAUUAUCCAUAAGUUUUUGUGGUUUUUUCCCCAAGUGGUUUGUGUUUGUGUGUGAGAGAGAGAGAGAAACUCCUUCAAAAUGCUGUAUAUUUUAUGCUGAAUUGUAUGGACUGACCGUAAUGGCAAUUUUUUUGUUAGUGUACAUUUUUAUUGUGUAUAUGUAUUGUGUUGAGAUAUUUUAUCAAUUGUACAUAGUAGAUCAAGGCAAAAUUUGUGGAUAAAAGUUGAUGGGGCUUUUGCUUUUUAUUAACCAAAUAAAUUGUAUUUUUAUAUUUAAAACAAAAACUGGUUUGCUAAACAUCGUGAGAAGUGAUGCUUGUACAGCAGAAGCCUUGUCAAUUGAGUCCAUUAAUUUUGUACUUAACUUGAAAACAAAUUGUCAUUGUAUUAUAGACAACAUUAAAUGUUUUAUAUGUAACUUAUUAAACUGUGAUCAUUGUUAUGAAUUAUAAUUUUGUGUCAUUCCUUUUGUAAUUAAAUGUUGGAGCAACAACAAGUAAUUCAUGUUUUUCAUUAAGGAGCGGAAUACUCAAACAAU